GGCAUCGUAGACCAACGGCAGAGUCAAUUGACUCAAAAUCAAUCAAGUGUGGGUUCGAAUCCCACCGAUGCUA
rnacentral:tRNA from 1 species